ACACGUAAGGGGCGAGCGUUGUUCGGAAUUAUUGGGCGUAAAGGGCGCGUAGGCGGCAUAGCAAGUCAGAUGUGAAAUAUCCCAGCUUAACUGGGGGAGCGCGUUUGAAACUGCUGUGCUGGAGUCUAGGAGGGGAAGCUGGAAUUCCUGGUGUAGGGGUGAAAUCUGUAGAUAUCAGGAAGAACACCGGUGGCGAAGGCGAGCUUCUGGCCAUAGACUGACGCUGAGGCGCGAAAGCGUGGGGAGCGAACAGGAUUAGAUACCCUGGUAGUCCACGCCGUAAACGAUGUGCACUGGGUGUUGGCCCGUUGGGGUCAGUGCCGAAGCUAACGCGAUAAGUGCACCGCCUGGGGAGUAUGCUCGCAAGGGUGAA
rnacentral:rRNA from 1 species